GAUGAACGCUGGCGGCGUGCCUAAUACAUGCAAGUCGAGCGAAUGGAUUAAGAGCUUGCUCUUAUGAAGUUAGCGGCGGACGGGUGAGUAACACGUGGGUAACCUGCCCAUAAGACUGGGAUAACUCCGGGAAACCGGGGCUAAUACCGGAUAACAUUUUGAACCGCAUGGUUCGAAAUUGAAAGGCGGCUUCGGCUGUCACUUAUGGAUGGACCCGCGUCGCAUUAGCUAGUUGGUGAGGUAACGGCUCACCAAGGCAACGAUGCGUAGCCGACCUAGGAGGGGGAUCGGCCACCCUGGGACUGAGACCCGGCCCAGACUCCUCCGGGAGGCAGCAGUAGGGAAUCUUCCGCAAUGGACGAAAGUCUGACGGAGCAACGCCGCGUGAGUGAUGAAGGCUUUCGGGUCGUAAAACUCUGUUGUUAGGGAAGAACAAGUGCUAGUUGAAUAAGCUGGCACCUUGACGGUACCUAACCAGAAAGCCACGGCUAACUACGUGCCAGCCGCCGCGGUAA
rnacentral:rRNA from 1 species